rnacentral:rRNA from 1 species
AUUGAACGCUAGCGGGAUGCUUUACACAUGCAAGUCGAACGAGUGGCGGACGGGUGAGUAAUAUAUCGGCACGUGCCCAGUAGAGGGGGAUAACUACUCGACAGAGUGGCUAAUACCGCCUACUAUUGGAGCGGCCGAUAUCGGAUUAGCUAGUUGGUGGGGGAAAGGCUCACCAAGGCAACGAUCCGUAGCUGGUUUGAGAGGACGACCAGCCACACUGGAACUGAGACACGGUCCAGACUCCUACGGGAGGCAGCAGUGGGGAAUUUUGGACAAUGGGGGAAACCCUGAUCCAGCCAUGCCGCGUGUAUGAGAAGGCCUUCGGGUUGUAAAGUACUUUUAGCAGAGAAGCGGUAUCUGCAGAAUAAGCACCGGCUAACUACGUGCCAGCAGCCGCGGUAAUUC